UGGCGGCGUGCCUAAUACAUGCAAGUCGAGCGAACGGACGAGAAGCUUGCUUCUCUGAUGUUAGCGGCGGACGGGUGAGUAAAACGUGGAUAACCUACCUAUAAGACUGGGAUAACUUCGGGAAACCGGAGCUAAUACCGGAUAAUAUUUUUAACCGCAUGGUUCAAAAGUGAAAGACGGUCUUGCUGUCACUUAUAGAUGGAUCCGCGCUGCAUUAGCUAGUUGGUAAGGUAACGGCUUACCAAGGCAACGAUGCAUAGCCGACCUGAGAGGGUGAUCGGCCACACUGGAACUGAGACACGGUCCAGACUCCUACGGGAGGCAGCAGUAGGGAAUCUUCCGCAAUGGGCGAAAGCCUGACGGAGCAACGCCGCGUGAGUGAUGAAGGUCUUCGGAUCGUAAAACUCUGUUAUUAGGGAAGAACAUAUGUGUAAGUAACUGUGCACAUCUUGACGGUACCUAAUCAGAAAGCCACGGCUAACUACGUG
rnacentral:rRNA from 1 species